rnacentral:rRNA from 1 species
GACGAACGCUGGCGGCGUGCUUAACACAUGCAAGUCGAACGGUGACCUGAGGUGCUUGCACCUUGGUGAUCAGUGGCGAACGGGUGAGUAACACGUGAGGAACCUGCCCCAGACUCUGGAAUAACCCCGGGAAACCGGAGCUAAUACCGGAUAUGACAUCAGGCCGCAUGGACAUGGGGUGGACAGGUUUUCGGGAUGGGAUGGCCUCGCGGCCUAUCAGCUUGUUGGUGAGGUAGUGGCUCACCAAGGCGACGACGGGUAGCCGGCCUGAGAGGGCGACCGGCCACACUGGGACUGAGACACGGCCCAGACUCCUACGGGAGGCAGCAGUGGGGAAUAUUGCACAAUGGGCGAAAGCCUGAUGCAGCGACGCCGCGUGAGGGAUGACGGCCUUCGGGUUGUAAACCUCUUUCAGUAGGGAAGAAGCGCAAGUGACGGUACCUACAGAAGAAGCACCGGCUAACUACGUGCCAGCCGCCGCCGUAAUAC